AACGCACCUUGCGCUCCUUGGUACUCCGAGGAGCAUGCCUGUUUGAGUGUCAUUAAAUUCUCAACCUCAUCAGUUUUGUAACGAGACUGUGUGAAGUUGGAUGUGGGGGUUUGUGCAGGCUGCCUCAGUGCGGUCUGCUCCCCUGAAAUGCAUUAGCGAGUUCAAACUGGGCUCCGUCUAUUGGUGUGAUAAUUAUCUACGCCGUGGAUUGAGCUUAGACUUGCUUCUAACCGUCCGCAAGGACAAUCUUUUGACAAUUUGACCUCAAAUCAGGUAGGACUACCCGCUGAACUUAA
rnacentral:misc_RNA from 1 species